ensembl:lncRNA
GUGUGGUCUUGUUGUAGGUGUGGUCUUGUUGUAGGUGUGGUCUUAUAGGUGUGCUCUUGUUGUAGGUGUGGUCUUGUUGUAGGUGUGCUCUUGUUGUAGGUGUGGUCUUGUUGUAGGUGUGCUCUUGUAGGUGUGCUCUUGUUGUAGGUGUGCUCUUAUAGGUGUGGUCUUGUUGUAGGUGUGGUCUUAUAGGUGUGCUCUUGUUGUAGGUGUGGUCUUGUAGGUGUGCUCUUGUUGUAGGUGUGGUCUAGUUGUAGGUGUGCUCUUAAAGGUGUGUUCUUGUUGUAGGUGUGGUCUUGUUGUAGGUGUGGUCUUGUUGUAGGUGUGCUCUUGUUGUAGGUGUGCUCUUAUAGGUGUGCUCUUGUUGUAGGUGUGGUCUUGUUGUAGGUGUGCUCUUGUUGUAGGUGUGGUCUAGUUGUAGGUGUGUUCUUA